AUCCAGCAAUCAGCACUGAACUUUUCUCUUUUUGUUGAGAAUUGCAGGUUUCAAAUGCAAUCACUGGCUUUAAAGGAAAACGCACAGACCCAUCGGACCACUGCUGAGAGGAGAAUCCUCACCUGUUCCUUAUUCCUUGGAUUCUGAGUCCUCACUGAACCCUCCUCUCUGCCAAGGACCAGAAGGGCUGGACAGGAUUGUGCUGUGCUGCUCGAGACGGGAGGGCCAGGGCCUUGGAAAUGCGUCAAGAGCAAGAAGACAGGAGGAAACAGAGGAUUCUCACCCCCGCUGCCCACUAAACCAAACCAGCGCCGCUGUCUCCGGGAACAUCGGCAAGGAG